GUUACAAGAGCUGCACUGAAUGUU
rnacentral:piRNA from 1 species